rnacentral:rRNA from 1 species
UACGGAGGGUGCGAGCGUUUGUCCGGAAUCAUUGGGCGUAAAGGGCGCGUAGGUGGCGGGACAAGCGUGCGGUGAAAGCCUGGGGCUCAACCCCGGGUCGGCCGUGCGAACUGUUUUGCUUGAGCACUGUAGAGGCAGGCGGAAUUCCGGGUGUAGCGGUGGAAUGCGUAGAGAUCCGGAAGAACACCGGUGGCGAAGGCGGCCUGCUGGGCAGUAGCUGACACUGAGGCGCGACAGCGUGGGGAGCAACAGG